UUUUUUACUUCUGCUGUUCUUUGUACUACCUUGACAGAUGAUGAAUAUACCGGAAGUUUUCUCCUGAAAAAAGAGACAUGCUCCUGGUCAUACAACACCACCAUGACUAUAUUGUUAUUUAGUAAACAUGUCAUCAUAUCUUGGCUACUCCCUCUGUCUAGGUGUGUAAGUCAUCUUACGUUGUGCACCGCAACCAAGGUGGAGAGGAAAACGAGAAAACUUAAUGUCUUUUUGCUAAUUAAUAGCAUUGCAUGCAAUGAACUAACCACUGCAUGUCAUGUUUGGUAGUCUCAAGUCAUUAAAGCAUGCACGGUCCACAUCUCUUAUUGGUUGAUAUGUCACAAAACAAGAAAUGAGGAGGGAGUUAAUGUACCGUGCCUAAGUGUUUUUGGAUUAUUUGGUUUUCAUAAGGUGACUUACACACCUAGACGGAGGGAGUAGUUAGUAUUUGUUUCUAGGUGCAGAUGGUGCACUGGCACCCCCCAUCCUCAACACACUUAGAGGUCCAACUGCACGGAUAACACUGAGUGUGGUUGAAAAAUGCGCCACAUGUUGUCCUACAACUGAGGUCAUCACACCGUGGUGGAUAAGUAGUCCUUCCAAAGCAUGCACCCUCUGUUGACGCAAAAUAGUACCAUAAAAAAUGAAAUUGCACAUCAAUAUUUGUGAUCUUGGAUGAGUUAUUAAAGCAAGCUUCCACAUGAGCAAAUGAGUACCUGCUGCCAUCAUGAGGAGGGCAAGGGUGAGGAAAACCAUGAUUGUGGUCCUCAUCUUUGAUAUCUAGAUGACGCUGCUAAUUGAAAACGCGGUUGGUAG
rnacentral:lncRNA from 1 species